rnacentral:rRNA from 1 species
UACGGGGGGAGCAAGCGUUGUUCGGAUUUACUGGGCGUAAAGGGCGCGUAGGCGGUCACUACAAGUCAGUUGUGAAAUCUCUGGGCUUAACUCAGAACGGUCAACUGAUACUGUCGGACUGGAGUGCAGAAGGGGCAACUGGAAUUCUCGGUGUAGCGGUGAAAUGCGUAGAUAUCGAGAGGAACACCAGUGGCGAAGGCGGCGACCUGGACGGACACUGACGCUGAGACGCGAAAGCGUGGGGAGCAAACAGG